CUUUGAACUACCACAAGCCAAAUUACUGCAGGCUGGAGGCUGCCACCUAUGGGAUAGGUUAGAAGUCAAUGCCACAACCCUAAAUUUAGACAGGUAAGAAUAGGAAGUAGAACAGGUGGGCAAGAUAAAAAAAAAUAUAAGUGCAAAAGGCAGCAAAAAAAUUCCCAGGAUGUGGAUGACAGAGGAUGGGACCAAUUUAGGAGCAUGAGCCAAAGGCUUCAGUGCCAAGAGAGCAAACAACCAAGAUCAGAUUACCCCAGACUGGUGUAGCCAGCCAGUACAGGGAUAAAGCUUAAUUCUAAAACCAACUAUGGCCCAAAUCAAGAACUCCAUAUGUCCCAUGUCCUUGGCCAGAACUGGAAACAGUUCGAGGGUGAGCAGGACAGCAUGGGCAAUGUUGUAACCCCCACACCUGUGGCUUUCAGCUUCUUGCUGCCUGAUCCGUCUGCUCAUGGCACACAUAGUCCUUCAUGGGUGGCCACAAGUGGGUGGCCAGUCACUAAGUGUCUCAGCUGAAUGAUGUCCCCUCGAACCUCUUUAAGCUGGCACAGGACCAUCAUGUUAACCAGUCGCCUUGAGAACCUGGUUGCGAAGGAGCCUCUUUGGAGAACAUGACUCCUGCUCCCUGGCUUGCUUCACUACUUCAAGUUGUCUGCCAGGCCCUCUAGCCAUUUGAUUCUGUGCCCCUCUCACGGGUUCAUACAUAAAGUCUCACCUUUAAG